rnacentral:tRNA from 1 species
GCCCCCAUGGUGUAGCGGCUAGCACGCGAGGUUUUCAACCUCGUAGGGGGAGUUCGAGUCUCCCUGGGGGUA